GGCAAGACUAACAGGAUUCCCCUAGUAACGGCGAGUGAAGAGGGAAGAGCUCAAAUUUGAAAUCUGGCGGCCUACGGUCGUCCGAGUUGUAAUCUAGAGAAGUGUUUUCCGUGCUGGACCGUGUACAAGUCCUUUGGAACAAGGCGUCAUAGAGGGUGAGAAUCCCGUCUACGACACGGACUACCAGUGCUAUGUGAUACACUCUCAACGAGUCGAGUUGUUUGGGAAUGCAGCUCAAAAUGGGUGGUAAAUUCCAUCUAAAGCUAAAUACAGGCGAAAGACCGAUAGCGAACAAGUACCGUGAGGGAAAGAUGAAAAGCACUUUGGAAAGAGAGUUAAACAGUACGUGAAAUUGUUGAAAGGGAAACGCUUGAAGUCAGUCGCGUCUUCAGAAAUUCAGCUUGGCUUCUGCCUGGUGCACUUUUCUGUUGUACGGGCCAGCAUCAGUUUUGGCCGCCAGAAAAAGGUGGGAGGAAGGUGGCACCUCCGGGUGUGUUAUAGCCUCUCAUCGUAUGUGGCGGCUGGGACUGAGGACUGCAGCACGCCUUUAUGGCCGGGGUUCGCCCACGUAACGUGCUUAGGAUGCUGGCGUAAUGGCUUUAAGCGACCCGUCUUGAAACACGGACCAAGGAGUCUAACAUGCCUGCGAGUAUUUGGGUGGUAAACCCAUAUGCGGAAUGAAAGUGAACAGUUGGGACUUCUGUCAUGGAAGGCACCGACGCCCGGACCAGACCUACUGUGACGGAUCCGAGGUAGAGCAUGUAUGUUGGGACCCGAAAGAUGGUGAACUAUGCCUGAGUAGGGUGAAGCCAGAGGAAACUCUGGUGGAGGCUCGUAGCGAUUCUGACGUGCAAAUCGAUCGUCGAACUUGGGUAUAGGGGCGAAAGACUAAUCGAACCAUCUAGUC
rnacentral:rRNA from 1 species